ensembl:lncRNA LINC00887 long intergenic non-protein coding RNA 887
GAGACAGAGAGCUACAGUCGCGCCUGCCACAUCUACCUCCCCAGCCAUCCUACUCUCUAUGCUGCUGCAAACUAGACAUUCCUUCCUGGAGGGACCUCUCGCUUCCCAUCUUCAGAUCAGGACGCACGGUCUCUUCUCCGCAGCUGCUUCCUCUGGUGUUCCUGUGCUCCUGUCGGCCCGCUGCUCCCACACACAUGCCCAUUCUUCUCGGGCUGGCUUGUAUCUCAGGGUUACGCUCCCCAGGUCCCUUGCUCCAGCCUCCUCUUAAACAUGACAAAGAAUCCAAGGACUUGUGCUGGGGCUGUCAGCUGCUAUUCUGGUGCCCUGGGGACGAAGAAGGGAUCUGGAGGGAAGACUGUCACCCUCUUGCGAAUGUUUCCAAGAAGCAGCUCAGCAUGGGAGAGAAAAGGGGAGAUCCCAGUUCCAGGAACACCUGGCCAGUGUUUCACCUGUUUAUCGGAGUUGACAGGACCAGCCAGCCCUUUCCCACCUCUCCCCAUCAUGAUGGAUGGGAGCCUGGCCUUUGAGAUUCCUGCGAAGGAAUGACAAAGAACAUCAAGGCUCAAUCCUUGGAACUCUCCAUCACUCAUCUUUAAAUUAGACUUCUCUGCUGACUCUCAGAGUUGUGUAUGCUGAGAAUCCACUGCCUCUAAGACAUCCUGCUUGGCAGGUUCCUAUCUCCCUUCGACUGAGGCAUCGUUUCCAAAUCAGACACUUCUCGUCACCACUAUUGCCCUCCCCUUGUCCAACCCACCUUUGGCUCUUGGCUGGAGUCCGAACAGAAAGCACAGAACGUGGCACGUUGGAGGAAAUCAGUAAGUGUUUGCUAAAGGUCCAACAAUGAAACAGAACAGAUAUAUCCAGUGCUAUGCCGCGUCAAAAGAGUAUGAGAGGUAUUGUGGUGAUGCUUUUGAAUGCUAAUCAGAAUAAGGAGGGUGACUAGUCCAUAGUUAUAUAGAAUAUAGGAUAUACAGAAUAUACCUUUUUCUGUAACGGGAUGUGUCACUUAACUUUGUUCCUUAAAGCUCCAGAAGCCCAAGGUCACCCACAAUGAUUCAAGUAUUAUCAAUGUUGAGAGCCUGUAAAAGCAUCAAGUAUAUUAUAGUUUCCAAAAAAUUGUGAAUUAGACUGAAAACCAGCAUUUAAAAAAUAAAGUGAUGUUGACUUAAA